CUAUUCCAGGACUUCUAGAGAAAAAUAAUGAGGGGUGUCACGGGGUAUGACUAUAUAGGUCUUGUAGAGGAGAAACAGGCGCUUCUUUUGCGCUAGGUAUCAAAGGGCGCUAUGUUCAAAAAUCUGAAACUAGAGCUCAAAAUUCGAAAAAAAAAUGUCAAAAAAAAUGGGGUAGGGUCGGCCUAUUCCAGGAGUUCUAGAGAAAAAUAAUGAGGGGUGUCACGGGGUAUGACUAUAUAGGUCUUGUAGAGGAGAAACAGGCGCUUCUUUUGCGCUAGGUAUCGAAGGGCGCUAUGUUCAAAAA
rnacentral:lncRNA from 1 species